rnacentral:rRNA from 1 species
UUGACCUCGGAUCAGGUAGGAAUACGCGCUGAACUUAAGCAUAUCAAUAAGCGGGGAAAAA